CAUACCAUUGUUGUGUAUUAUCCCUGAUGUCAAGACUCUCGUCUCUGCGAGCCUACCACACAGAUUUAAUACUUGUGUCAUUUUUAGGGCAUACCUAACAACCUGUGUUUUCUCUCUCUCCCUCCCCCCCCAAUCUGUCCCUCUGAGUUACAUGUUGGUCCUGGGAUUGAGAUGCUGGCCUCUUCUGCCCCUCGGACCUGCUUGAUCCAUCCUUGUGCCCUGUGUCUGGUUGGAGUUUUAUCGCAUCGCUCCUGUGGAGGACGGCCCCGUGAGGACAGGUUAUGACAACAAUGGCUGAGUUUUUAUCAGGAUCACAAGAAGAACAAGUUGGACUAUGUCCAAAAAUGCGACACAAUAAUCCUUUAGAAUUUGGAGGAGGACAGUACUCUGUUAAUUCAUCAAUAUUUUGCAUGCAUACCGGUGUGUCUUGGCGACUUCGUGAUCGAACCUCUCUAUCCUGUUCCUAUGACGGGCCAGUUGUUCACAUAGAACAAAGGGAGCAAGAUUCAAUUCUUUCCCAGUUACGAAUCGUUGAACGUGAAUCCAUCGAAACACGCACCCGUACUUCCCUCUCUCAACAAACAUAUUGAUGGUACCACAGCUUAGCAGUCCUCCUGGGCUCGGACAAACUUCUGUCUGUCUCUUACCGUAUAUCAGUUUUCCUUGACUGGGACAAUCUCUGUCCAUCUCUUAUAUCAGUCUUUAAAUACUGUUUCCACUAAUUUCUUUACACAAGAAUGCAAAGUUAUCACUUACUGGUUCGGU